rnacentral:lncRNA from 1 species
AACGUUUGGGUCCAAGUAAGAAUUCCUAACUGGUGGGGUUGCCGGCAGCAGUAACUCAAUCAGUGUGAGCAAACCCCACCCCUUGCUGUGCCUGCCACCUGCUGCUCAAUCCUGGGCGAUGUCAGGAGGCCACGCAGCCUGGUCGAGGAAGGUGCUCAGUAGGGGAUCCAUCCUCUUCCCUGUUCCUGUGGGGCCCCAAGGAAGCAGGAUGUGCAGAAGCGUUUGUCCCAGGGGCCUCGGUGUUCGACCACAUUCUCUGCCCCCGUCCGAGAUCCGCUCUGUCCCCUAAGGUCCCCUGCUCCUCAGCCCACAGGAAACGUGUGGAUGACACACGAGGAGAUGGAGUCCCUGACGGCCGCAACGAAGCCCAUCCUGGCAUAUGGAGACAUGAACCACGCAGUGGGUGGGAAACGACUGGCUGCCCAGCCUGGGGCUGCCCCAGUACCGCAGCUACUUCAUGGAGUCGCUGGUGGAUGCCCGAAUGUUAGAUCACCUUAACAAGAAGGAACUCCGGGGCCAGCUCAAGAUGGUGGACAGCUUCCACAGGUGGGGGCUGCCUGGCUGGCGGGGACGCGGGGAGCCCCACCCCUAGAGAGUCUAUGGCCCGUGGGGCUGGUGAUGGGAAAUCUUUAGGAUUAUCUUUGGCCCUUCAGCCUGGCUUUGUCAGGAAAUCCAGGCUCGGUGCUCUGUGGACCAAGAAGAUGGUCCGUAGGAAAAGCUCAAAUCCAGAGAUAGCUUGGCUGGUUAACCCCACACCCGGGCCAGGUUAGCCGGUAGGAACUGUGUGUUGAAAAUCCCCCGCCUCCUGGGAGGGCCUACAAGCAGUGUGGCUGAUCAUUGGAGCUCCCCGACCUGUCCAGAAUAGCACAGCCAAUGGAGAGGGGCCAGAGGAGGGGCUGCGAGGCUCCCCUGAGAUUCCCGUUCCCUUGCUGCGAAGGGUGAGUCUACAUUAUGGGAUUAUGUGCCUAAAACGGCUGAACUAUGACCGAAAGGACCUGGAGCGGAGAAGGGAAGAGAGCCAGACCCAGAUCCGAGGUGAGGAGAAGAGGGUGGGCCAGGUGGAGGGGAACGGCAGAGGCAUGGGUGGGAAAGAGAGGCCAGGGAAGAGGAAGACCUGAGCACUAGGGGAGCGCGGCUGAGGGUCCCUUCCGUUCCCAGACGUCAUGGUGUGGUCCAACGAGCGAGUCAUGGGUUGGGUGUCCGGGCUGGGCCUGAAGGAAUUCGCCACGAAUCUCACGGAGAAAGCGGGGUGCAUGGGGCUCUGCUCGCCCUGGACGAGACCUUCGACUACUCCGACCUGGCCUUGCUCCUGCAGAUCCCCACGCAGAACGCGCAGGACAGCGCCAAGUCCUUCAGCCGCUCCCCAUCCUGGCGGAAGAUGUUCCGAGAGAAGGACCUCCGAGGCGUAACCCCCGACUCGGCUGAGAUGUUGCCCCCCAACUUUCGUUCGGCUGCAGCAGGAGCCCUGGGCUCACCAGGGCUCCCUCUCCGAAAGCUGCAGCCUGAAGGCCAGACUUCUGGGAGCUCCCGGGCAGACGGCGUUUCGGUCCGGACCUACUCCUGCUAGUGUUGGCCUCCAGGUGACCUCACUCGGAUGGAGGACUCUCCCAGUGGCUGCGCCGUCCCGCCUGCUGCCCAGAGUCUGGGCUUACCCCUAGAGAGCCGGCCAGGAGUUCCAGCCGCGGACUGCACCAUCUGUACAGACAGGGGCCGCGCGCGUCCCCGCCUCCCCAGUGGACUGGGCCUGGACCAAACCAUGUGGACCGAACUGAGGGGGGACAGGAGAGGAAGUAGCUAUCCCGCCCCAAACUCCCGCCUCCCUUUCUCUACUUUGUAAUUUAUUGAUCAGUUUCCAACGGGAGACGGGUACUCUCCACCCGCGGAAAGGGGGCGGGCUUCCCUCCCGGGCCGCAUGCGGGGAAAGGCUGUUCCCUCCCCUUUCUCCUGCCCAGUUGCGGGGCCCAAGUCUUCCUUCUUCCUCGGAAAGGAGGGGAGGGGGGACUCGCUGCUACAAGCCUCGCCCCCUGUGCCACUUGGCCCCGCCCCGCCGAAUCCGGUCGCCAGUCCCCGGGUCAUUUGCAGGCGGGGUCCCCUGUCCCUCCCCGUGUCUCGUGUCCCCGGGGCCUCCCCGUUCCCCGUGCUGUGGCCGUGUCCGUGCCCCAGGGGCAGGGGGCGCAGAUGCGCGCUCCCGGAUCCCCUCCCGGCUCCGGGGUUUGCAUGGGAGAAUCCUCUUUCCACGAUGCCACCGAGCGACGUGGCGUAGGAGGAGGGCGGAUGGUGGGGGAACCCUCGCCCCCGGCUCUCGGUCGGCCUCCUGGCCCCAGGCGUCACCCAGUGAUCACGGGUAAAGAGAACUGUUUCAAAA